CAGGAACAUCUUUGCCAUAGAACUCUAGUAGUUUUCUAUUUGUUUCCUCAAAUCAUACCCAUUUUUUUCAGAUCCUCUUUGUUGAAAGGUAGGAGAACCAUUUUCCAAGAAAACAUUAUCACAAUUCACAGCAAUUUCAUUAUGUUCAAAGGCUCACAUCUUGCUAAUCAUUUAAAUUUGUACCCUUUUUAUACUAUAAAACCCUUAAAAUUAGUUUAAGUUGGAAGCGUGAUCUACUCUGUUGAUGGGUUAAUCUUAGAUACUACAAAUCACUAAGCCAUAAACCAAGAAUUAUGUAAUACUUCAUCCCAUACUGAACAAAUCAUGUUUGCACUACAUUGAUUUUUUUAUCUCAAUGUGAAUGUGGUGCAUCAUUAUAUUUUUCUUACUAGUAAGUGACUAAAAAUCCUCAAAGCCAUUGGUACUUGUACCAUCCCACAUUUUGCUUCCUUCUUGUGAUAUCUAUGGUCCAAUAUAUGAUUCCAUCUUUGAUAAGAGCCUUUUGCAGCCAGCUUCUAUCAGAUUAUUUUAGACUGACCCCAUCUUGUGUGCAAUAUCAAACUGUGGUAAAAGGCAAUGUAGGAUCCAGAAAUUCAGAACAUUCUAUCUGACCCCAUCUUGUGUGCAAUAUCAAACUGCAGGUUUUUGCCCACAAAAGAUAACCUGAGGAGAAGGGAAAUGGACAGAGAAGUGCAAGCUAUUAUGAGAAGAGGGAGAUGGCUAUGAAAAUGGGAGAAGCUCAUAUUGCUAAUGGAAUCUAAUUUCAAAGAAUCCCAAGAUCAAGGGAACUCCAAGAGCAUGACUAUUGAAGAUGCGAUAGUGGGUCCUCUGUAACCACAUGAAACCACUAAUCUGGAAUGCAUCACUAGCUGUCUGCUCUUUCCUGCCUAUAGUGGGUCCUCUGUAACCACAAAAAACUGUAGAAUGGGAAGAGUCAUUGGCCACUAUGGUAAGAUCAUUAGGAAGGGUUGAGAAGUUUCUAGAGAUUUUAGAGGAUAAUGCUGGUUGAUGCUUCAGUUGUUUUAGUAUUUCCAAAACAGCUAAAAGAAAUAGGUAACUCGGCUUAAUUCAAGCUAUCCAGGUGGUUUGGCAUCAUAUAUUCAAAAUGCUAGGAAUCUAUUAGCAGAUUCAAAAGCAGGGAAAAAUCCAUUUGAUGGCUUUACUCCUUCGUGUUCUCGUUCACAGUGGUGGCGUACAUGGUGGACACUAUUAUGCUUUCAAUGGGAAAUUGUCCUUGAUGAGUCAAGUGGCAGAGUUUAUUUGGGAAAGGUGUCUUCGUAACUUGUUUCUAUUGUCUGCAUAUCUUGUUUAGAAGAAAUGAUGAAUUGCUGCUGAUCAAUAAGGCGAAAUGAGAAAGUUUUUUUUUCUUUUUUCUUUAGGGAGUUGUGAUCAAUGUGGCAAGAGACCGUGCUCUGUGGGCCCUGCAUGAUAAAUUUGUUUUA